AUUGAACGCUGGCGGCAGGCCUAACACAUGCAAGUCGAGCGGAUGACGGGAGCUUGCUCCUUGAUUCAGCGGCGGACGGGUGAGUAACGCCUAGGAAUCUGCCUGGUAGUGGGGGACAACGUUUCGAAAGGAACGCUAAUACCGCAUACGUCCUACGGGAGAAAGCAGGGGGCCUGCGGGCCUUGCGCUAUCAGAUGAGCCUAGGUCGGAUUAGCUAGUUGGUGAGGUAAUGGCUCACCAAGGCGACGAUCCGUAACUGGUCUGAGAGGAUGAUCAGUCACACUGGAACUGGGACACGGUCCAGACUCCUACGGGAGGCAGCAGUGGGGAAUAUUGGACAAUGGGCGAAAGCCUGAUCCAGCCAUGCCGCGUGUGUGAAGAAGGUCUUCGGAUUGUAAAGCACUUUAAGUUGGGAGGAAGGGCAGUAAGUUAAUACCUUGCUGUUUUGACGUUACCGACAGAAUAAGCACCGGCUAACUCUGUGCCAGCCGCCGCAGUAAAAC
rnacentral:rRNA from 1 species